UUUGAUUUUUAGGUUAUAAAUUCAUUUUUGAAAGUGUAGAUCUCAGGCCCUGUGUGCUCUAGCACCAUGCAGACAGUUUUGGUUGAUUCCAGCACAUGUCAGCAAACACUGGAAAAAAGAAUUAUGUCUCUAUCAUAUUGUAAGGAAGAGUUAUUCUAAAGCACCCGAAGGGUGGUAAAAUACCUUUUUUUUGUCAUUCAAGUAUCCAAGUUCCCCACCUGACGCUUUUUACUGCCUAAUAUAACAGACACAGUGUCCUGUGUUUCUCUGCCUUCAGACAGACUCCAGCUUCUCUACAUAGGACAAGUGUUUGGAGAAUCCUGGAUGGAGAGCAGGCAUGUGUGCAUGAAACCAGAGACCAGAUUAAUGUGUUCAUGUACCCCACUUUGUAGACACUAAGUGUAUCUGCAUUAAUAUAUGAAAACAGCAUGAAGAGGAAAGAGAUUUAAAAAAAAGUCCCUAAUCCUGCUCCUGAUGAGCCACUUUCCUGAGUUUAUCUCCAACCCUGUAAAAAAACGCUCUAGCAGCUGAACAAUAAAUUGUUGUUUUAAUGAAUGCUGUUGCUAAACUAAAAAAACAACCACAAUGAACCAUAUCAAACAUCACAAAUGCCGUGGCUCAGUGGCUAAUCAUUUGUCUUUCAUUCAGUUCUUGGUCCAAAUCCCACAGUUGCUAAUAUUUUUAUCACAGAAAACAAAGCCCUCAAUAAACUCAAAAGAGUUCAAUAAAUAAAUGGUUGCGUUUGAAUCUUAGAUUGCCUAUGUUAAAAUGCAUAUCCAACAAACUGCACCAAACAACAGAUGAUAUUGUGAAAGCCACGAUGGUGCAGUGGUUAAACACAACACAUUUUCCAACUCUUCCUAAUCAAUCACACCUGAAUCGACUCAUCAGCUCGUUAGUAGAGACUCCAAAACCAGACAUAUAUGGGUCAGAUAAGAAAGACGUCGAGGGGUGUGCAAUGUUGGUGUGGCUCUUGGAACAGGGAUCUCUUGGUUUGAGCUGCUGGAGGUCAUGAGGAAAAGCAGUGAGUGACUUUGCAUGGAGUAUUUUGAGAGGAGCAACCGCCGAACUGUUAUGCAUCUGAGCCUUUUCCUGACUCAACCUGUUUCUGUUUUGAACUGGCAUGUUUUUGACAAUGAUCUACUUAAGUUUGUGUCCAAUAAAAUGGUAAAUGUGA